AUUGAACGCUGGCGGCAUGCCUUACACAUGCAAGUCGAACGGCAGCACGGGAGCAAUCCUGGUGGCGAGUGGCGAACGGGUGGGUAAUGUAUCGGAACGUACCUUUCAGUGGGGGAUAACGUAGCGAAAGUUACGCUAAUACCGCAUAUUCUGUGAGCAGGAAAGCAGGGGAUCGCAAGACCUUGCGCUGAUUGAGCGGCCGAUAUCAGAUUAGCUAGUUGGUGAGGUAAAGGCUCACCAAGGCGACGAUCUGUAGCGGGUCUGAGAGGAUGAUCCGCCACACUGGAACUGAGACACGGUCCAGACUCCUACGGGAGGCAGCAGUGGGGAAUUUUGGACAAUGGGCGCAAGCCUGAUCCAGCCAUGCCGCGUGAGUGAAGAAGGCCUCGGUUGUAA
rnacentral:rRNA from 1 species